GCAUCUUCUAUCUUCUGGCUGCAGAGGCUCUCCCUGCUGUGUGCUCAACAACCUUUGAACCCUAAGUGCUGUCCAUGCAGAUGAGGCAAAGGGAAUUUCCCAGGUUCUGGGAUUAGGAUGUGGACCUCUUCAGGAACCAUUCUUCUGCCUAUCACAAUGGAUGCCCAGAGGCCUAAGAGAUUGUUUUCGAGCAGAGGAGAGAUGACAGAACCCAGACCAGCCCAGAGAAGAAGGACAAGCAGAAGGGAUGGGCAAGGAAAGACAAACAACAUGGCCUGAUUCAGAGACACUGGCUGAGCGAGCAGGAUAAGAAAAUAACAACAGGGAACAGAUGAGGACCCCUGGUCCAGCAUGGUCUGAGUACAUAGGAAACCUCAAUGAAUGCUAAAUAGUUGGAAAAGAUUUCAAGUGUGUUUCCAUGUGGGGUAGGGCCCACGUGCUCUUUUACAAAGGGCCCUUGCUACUCCUCUGCUAAAGAGGUGGAAACUAUUUCCCCUCCACCCGUCCUGUUGCUGGUUUGCAAUGAAUGAAGCAUCAAUGACAUUCUGGGCAUUCCUGGUCCAGGUAUCAAGAAGACCUGGCAGCUUCCACUUUUGCACUCUUGGAGGAGCCAGCUGCCAUGUAAAAAGUGUCACUUCCCUGAAACCACUAUGCUGUGAGGAAGCCUGAGCUAACCCACUUGGAGAGACCACAUAGAGAGAGUUGUCCCUGGCUAGUCCAGCCAUCCCAGCCCAGUUUCCAGACAGUAAAUGAAGAACCCUUCUUGAAUGUUCCAACCCCAGCAGACAACUCAUGGAACUGUCCAUUUGAAACUGGCCCAAUUUUCCCAUAGAACUGAAGCUUGAGAAACUUACAUUUGUCUUAUGAGUUCCUUUCUCAGGAAAUCGACCAUCAGGCCUCCCAGACAGGAUCAAGAAACUGAUACAUUCCAGAUCACCUUAUCCAGACAAUGAGAGGCCAGACCUCUCGUCUGACCAUCUGUUGCCUGUUCACUAGCUCCUCUUCCUUCCCUGCUCUACAAACUCCUAACUUUGGUCAGCGAGAAAGUCAGAUUUGAGACUUGUCUCCCAUCUUCUGGUGGAUGUCACCCAUAAUAAAGCCUUUCUUUCCUGGCAAUACUUGGUGUCUCAGUGAUUGGCUUUCUGCGCAGCAAGCAACCUAGGCUGAACCCCUGACAUUCGGUAACACGUUGACAGCUGAGCUGCCCCCAUUGAGCCCU
rnacentral:lncRNA from 10 species